CCCAUAUGAACUAGCACUGUGUUUGAGCAUUCUGAUCUCCAAGAAGUUUUUCAGUUUGGAUGAUCUUAAGACGCGUAUACUCAAAUUUCCUUUUUAAGUGGAGUGACAAAAAAAAUCGGCCUCACACCAUACCACUUACCUAUUCCAGAAGGAAAACGAUAGGUGGCAACUCUCAUGAGAAUUGGUGCUUAAUACGUUUCCUUCCAUUUCUCAUAGGGGACCUUAUACCAGAGGAUGAGCUCUCUUGGCAAGUAAUACUAGAUCUGAAGGAAAUCGUAGAGUUAGUUGUGGCACCUGUUCACACGCACGAGACCAUUGCAUACCUUGAUGUCAAAGUGUCUGAGCACAGACACAGGUUGCUUGAGCUUAUCCCCGGUGAGACGCUGAAACCCAAACACCAUUAUAUCGAACAUUACUCACACUUGAUCAGGUGCUUCGGGCCUCUUGUUGGUGUAUGGACCAUACGGUUCGAGGCCAAACACAGUUUUUUUUUUUUUAAACAAGUAGCUCGACACACAAAUAAUUUCAGGAAUAUUGCACUUACUCUUGCAAACAAACACCAGCAAAUGAUCAGUUAUCACUUGCAUUCAUCCAGUCUCACUGCAUCAAAUGUAGAAGUUACAAAUGUCUCCAUAGUCCCAGUUGAUGUUUUGAAUGAGGAGGUUUUGUACUCUCAGACAAAAGUAUCCAGACAUCAGUCAAGUGAAUCUCACAAAGAAUGUCACCACUAAAGGGAUCAACUACAGAAAUGGGAUGUUUUUGGCAUGUGGGUCAACGGCUGGAAUGCCUGAAUUUGCAGAGAUCAUACAAAUGUGUAUAGUCAGAGAUGAGUUGAGCUUCAUAGUUCGUUUAUACUUUGCUUGGUAUCAGGACCAUUUUAGAGCCUUUCAGUUGACAUAGUCACCAGGAAGAGAGGUUGCCCUUGUUCAAGUUGAGGAGCUGACAGAUUACUGUCCACUUGUGGCCUACACAGUCGGAUCCAGACGUAUGGUGACCCUGAAGAGACACAUCGUCAUUACAGAUUAGCAAAGCAGGAUGGAAGCACGAGUAACCUUCAGAGUCCUCUUUGGAGGUGAAGAGGAUGCAAGAAAACUCACCAUUGAAUCCGGAAUACCAAGAACUGUGGAGGACUUGGCUCUUAAAAUCAAGACUUUCUUUGAAGUGACUGAGCAGUUCAGACUUCAGUACAAAGACAUGGAUAAUCAGUUCAUGAAUCUCUUGUCAACAUCAGAACUUGAAGAUAAAGGGACUUUGAAAGUGGUGUACAUACCAUGUGAGACAACCAGGUCUGCUACACUCACAGAAGAUUUCUGCUGCACAAUCUCAGGUACUCCUUCCAGCUCUUCAUCACAAGAACCAAUUGAUUUAGACUCCUACUCCAGCAAUGAUACCAUCAUCUUGUCAUCGCCUGAGACCCGAUCCUGCUCCUGGCCUAAACCCUUUGUCGUACCCCGCUUCUCAUCCUGUGCCGAGAUUAUGCUCCAGAAAGGAAACGAUGAGUUCAAGGCACACGGAACUGUCCUGUGUCCUACACCAAAAGUACGCUCGAAUAUCCUUGAAGGCUUAGCUGAGGAAAUAAUAAAGUACACAGCUUACCCAGGGGAUGGGCAUUUAGAGGAAGUGGCAAAGACUCUCAUACAGUCACAUCCAUGUUUACU